rnacentral:lncRNA from 10 species
UUUUGUAUUUUUGGUAGAGACGAGGUUUCGCCAUGUUGCCCAGGCUGAUCUCGAACUCCUGACCUCAAGUGAUCCACCCGUCCUGGACUCCCAAAGUGCUGAGAUUACAGGCAUGAGCUACUGUGCCUGACCUUGAAGCUUCUUUCUGACUGAUAGAGAUGAGGAGGGGAGAAAACUGUCUUCUCACAUCACCACAAUUGAUAAAUGUAUCCUGGCAUCCCGUCUCUGAGAUCUGGCCCUUCUGAUGUUCCCCACCAACUGGGCUCACCUUAUGUUGUCUGCUAGCUUCUGUUUGGCUCACUGGGGAAUAUUGACAAACUGGGAAGUGUCAUUCCUACGUGACCUGUUUUUCUUUCUGUUUCUUUUUAGCUGAGAUUGGGGAUUUUGAUGAAGCCUUGGACAGAGAGCACUUAGCAAAAAAUAAAUACAUACCUCAGCAAGACGCACUAGAGGACAAAAUCGUGGAAUUUCACCAUAACCACAUUGGACAAACACCAGCAGAAUCAGAUUUCCAGCUCCUAGAGAUUGCCCGUCGGCUAGAGAUGUAUGGAAUCCGGUUGCACCCGGCCAAGGACAGGGAAGGCACGAAGAUCAAUCUGGCCGU